CACCGCCCGUCACACCAUGGGAGUUGAUUGCACCAGAAGCAGGCAGCCUAACCGCAAGGGGGCGCCUACCACGGUGUGGUCAAUGACUGGGGUG
rnacentral:rRNA from 1 species